rnacentral:rRNA from 1 species
UAGUCCACGCCGUAAACGAUGAGAACUAGAUGUUGGGGGGAAUUGCCCCUCGGUGUCGCAGCUAACGCGUUAAGUUCUCCGCCUGGGGAGUACGCCGGCAACGGUAAAACUCAAAGGAAUUGACGGGGACCCGCACAAGCGGUGGAGCAUGUGGUUUAAUUCGAUGCAACGCGAAGAACCUUACCUGCCCUUGACAUUGACAGAAUCCUGUAGAGAUACGGGAGUGCUUCGGCCUGGAAAACAGGUGCUGCAUGGCUGUCGUCAGCUCGUGUCGUGAGAUGUUGGGUUCAGUCCCGCAACGAGCGCAACCCUCGUCCUUAGUUGCCAUCAUUAAGUUGGGCACUUUGAGGAGACUGCCGGUGACAAACCGGAGGAAGGUGGGGAUGACGUCAAGUCAUCAUGCCCCUUACAUCCUGGGCUACACACGUACUACAAUGCAACGGACAAAGGGCAGCCAACUAGCGAUAGUGAGCUAAUCCCAUAAACCGUUGCUCAGUUCAGAUUGC